AGAGUUUGAUCCUGGCUCAGGAUGAACGCUGGCGGCAGGCCUAACACAUGCAAGUCGAGCGCUACCUUCGGGUGGAGCGGCGGACGGGUUAGUAACGCGUGGGAAUAUACCCAGUUCUAAGGAAUAGCCACUGGAAACGGUGAGUAAUACCUUAUACGCCCUUCGGGGGAAAGAUUUAUCGGAAUUGGAUUAGCCCGCGUUAGAUUAGAUAGUUGGUGGGGUAAUGGCCUACCAAGUCUACGAUCUAUAGCUGGUUUGAGAGGAUGAUCAGCAACACUGGGACUGAGACACGGCCCAGACUCCUACGGGAGGCAGCAGUGGGGAAUCUUAGACAAUGGGCGCAAGCCUGAUCUAGCCAUGCCGCGUGAGUGAUGAAGGCCCUAGGGUCGUAAAGCUCUUUCAACUGUGAAGAUAAUGACGGUAGCAGUAGAAGAAACCCCGGCUAACUUCGUGCCAGCAGCCGCGGUAAUACGGAGGGGGCUAGCGUAGUUCGGAAUUACUGGGCUUAAAGAGUUCGUAGGUGGUUGAAAAAGUUGGUGGUGAAAUCCCAGAGCUUAACUCUGGAACUGCCAUCAAAACUUUUCAGCUAGAGUAUGAUAGAGGAAAGCAGAAUUUCUAGUGUAGAGGUGAAAUUCGUAGAUAUUAGAAAGAAUACCAAUUGCGAAGGCAGCUUUCUGGAUCAUUACUGACACUGAGGAACGAAAGCAUGGGUAGCGAAGAGGAUUAGAUACCCUCGUAGUCCAUGCCGUAAACGAUGUGUGUUAGACGUUGGAAAUUUAUUUUCAGUGUCGCAGGGAAACCGAUAAACACACCGCCUGGGGAGUACGACCGCAAGGUUAAAACUCAAAUGAAUUGACGGGGACCCGCACAAGUAGUGGAGCAUGUGGUUUAAUUCGAAGAUACGCGCAGAACCUUACCAACACUUGACAUGUUCGUCGCGACUCUAAGAGAUUAGAGUUUUCGGUUCGGCCGGACGAAACACAGGUGCUGCAUGGCUGUCGUCAGCUCGUGUCGUGAGAUGUUGGGUUAAGUCCCGCAACGAGCGCAACCCUCACUUUUAGUUGCCAUCAUUAAGUUGGGCACUCUGAAAGAACUGCCAGUGAUAAGCUGGAGGAAGGUGGGGAUGACGUCAAGUCCUCAUGGCCCUUACGUGUUGGGCUACACACGUGCUACAAUGGCAUCUACAACAGGAAGCAAAACGGCAACGUUAAGCAAAUCCCGAAAAGAUGCCUCAGUUCGGAUUGCACUCUGCAACUCGAGUGCAUGAAGCUGGAAUUACUAGUAAUCGUGGAUCAGCGUGCCACGGUGAAUGCGUUCCCGGGUCUUGUACACACCGCCCGUCACACCAUGGGAGUUGGUUCUACCUUAAGGCAAGGUUUCAAACCCUUGACCACGGUAUAGUCAGCGACUGGGGUGAAGUCGUAACAAGGUAACC
rnacentral:rRNA from 2 species